AAAUGGGGAGCGGCCGGUUCCCCGAGGAAGGUUUCGGAAAGGCUAGCUACUUCAAGAACAUACAGGUGGUCGACGAGUCGAACAAUCUGAGGGCACCGAAGGGGCUCGGGACCUUCACCGAGCAAUCCAAUUGCUAUGAUGUGCAGAAUGGCAAUAGUGGUGAUUGGGGAUACUACUUCUACUACGGAGGCCCUGGAAAGAACA
rnacentral:misc_RNA from 1 species